AACAUAUAAAAUAGCUUAUGUUACGGCCAUAAGAAUGGUAAAUUUUACCUUAUGUUU
rnacentral:tRNA from 1 species